GAUGAACGCUGGCGGCGUGCCUAAUACAUGCAAGUCGAACGCAUAGCGAAAGGUGCUUGCACCUUUCAAGUGAGUGGCGAACGGGUGAGUAACACGUGGACAACCUGCCUCAAGGCUGGGGAUAACAUUUGGAAACAGAUGCUAAUACCGAAUAAAACUUAGUGUCGCAUGUCACAAAGUUAAAAGGCGCUUCGGCGUCACCUAGAGAUGGAUCCGCGGUGCAUUAGUUAGUUGGUGGGGUAAAGGCCUACCAAGACAAUGAUGCAUAGCCGAGUUGAGAGACUGAUCGGCCACAUUGGGACUGAGACACGGCCCAAACUCCUACGGGAGGCUGCAGUAGGGAAUCUUCCACAAUGGGCGAAAGCCUGAUGGAGCAACGCCGCGUGUGUGAUGAAGGCUUUCGGGUCGUAAAGCACUGUUGUAUGGGAAGAACAGCUAGAAUAGGAAAUGAUUUUAGUUUGACGGUACCAUACCAGAAAGGGACGGCUAAAUACGUG
rnacentral:rRNA from 1 species